rnacentral:rRNA from 1 species
CGUAAGGCGCCGAAUGAGUCAUUAAAAAUUAACAUCAUCCGAUCCCUAGUCGGCAUAGUUUAUGGUUAAGACUACAACGGUAUCUGAUCGUCUUCGAUCCCCUAACUUUCGUUCUUGAUUAAUGAAAACAUCCUUGGCAAAAUGCUUUUCGCAGUAGUUAGUCUUCAAUAAAUCCAAAGAAUUUCACCUCUGACAAUUGAAUACUAAUGCCCCCAACUAUCCCUAUUAAUCAUUACGUCGAUCCUAGAAACCAACAAAUAGAAUCAAACGUCCUAUUUCGUUAUUCCAUGCUAAUGUAUUCAAGCGUGAGCCUGCUUUAAACACUUCUUAAUUUUUUC